rnacentral:lncRNA from 1 species
UGAACUCUCUGGAUCUCUGUUUAUUGCAGGGAAAAAGUAACAUACAGCAUAUAAAAUGCCAAGUGAUGGCCUUUUCUGCCAAACACAGAGGAGUGGAACAAUAAAUUUGCAUUAAUUUCCCUCAAAUUCCAGAAGAUAUUUCUUUGACUUAGUGCAGAAUUUGAGAGAAUAAUUUUUUUUCUUGGUUACCUAAUUUGCAAACUGGAAUUAAGAACAUUCAAAAUCCUCUCGGAUCGCUCGUUAAAAUGAGUGAUGAGCAAUUUCCUGGAAAACAAUGAACAUUAGCUAUCAGUCACUCUAUGAAUAAGUUUUAUUAUUGGCUCCACUAAUUUUUUCAUCCUUCUGUCUAAAUACUGGUCCCAGUUUGAAUGCUGUCUUUUCACUAUGUAAUGAGCUACGACAAUUCACAAUACCUGGAUGAAGAAAGAGCUCCAUUCAUUGAACACCUACAAUACAGCAGAAAUGAUUUUUCUGGACAACAAACAAAACUGGAGCUAAUUUUCUAGUGGCGACGGGGAGAUAGCAAACAAAUGAUGUGCUUCCAGGCACUGGUAAGUACUAUGAUGGCAGAUUGAGAGCGGGUCUAGCAAGCAAGCAAGGGGCCUGGCCUGUUUGUGAUAAGCUUGUCAGGUGUGGCCUCUUUGAGGAGGUGACAAGAAAGCAGAGAUCCAAAUUAAGCAAGAGAGGGAGCCAUGUGGAGGUCUGGAGGAAGAGUAUUACAGGUAAAAGAAACAGCAGAAAAAGACCUUUUUUGCAGAUAGAAAGGAGCAUGUCAUGUACCCAGAACAACAAGAAGGCCAGGUGACCCAGAGAUUGGAGAAGGUGAGAAAGGACCUUUCUCUAUAGAAUGAAGGAUAGAAUGAUGCCCAGAGGAAAUGGAGUUUAUACUCAAUGUUAUAAGAAGCUGUGAUGAUUAAUUUUGUGUGUCAACUUUGCUAGGCUUGGUGCCCAGUUGCUUGGUCAAACAGCAGUCUAGAUGUUGCUGUGCAGGUAUUUUUUUACAUUUAAAUCAGCAGACUUUGAGUAAAGAAGAUUACCUUCCAUAAUGUUGGUGAGCCUUAUCCAAUCAUUUGAAGGCCAUAAGAGAAAAGACAGAGGUCUCUCAAAGAGGAAGGAAUUCUGCCUCCAGACUGCAUCAUCGAAAUUCUGCCUGAGUUUCCAGCCUUCAAACUCAAGACUACAAAAUCUCUUGGCAGAAUUUCCAGGCUGCUAGCCUGUCUUGUGGAUUUUGGACUUGCCUGCCCCCACAAUUGUGUGAGCCAAUUCCUUAAAAUAAAUCUCUUUCUGCA